CCAACCCGGGAAGUCCUGCCGGUCCGAUCUGCCAGUCGUCUCUGUCCCCGCCCAGCGGCCCGCGGUGCAUUCCCUCGCCUUGCAAGGCUAGUGAGGACUGAGAGGCAGGAAGUGAUUUGUUCCCCCACCCAGGUCGACCUGCACUUUGCUUACUACAGGCUCCAACACCAGGGACCUGCUACUGGUCCUAAAUUCUGUCUUCCUGGGGACGUUUGCUUUCAGCCUUCCCUGCGGCACCAACGCCCAGCUAAACCCUCCCUGCCCUAGGGGGGCAAAUUCUUUCCACCUUUGAUUCAGUCCUCUCUCUCUCUCUCUCUCUCUCUCUCUCUCUCUCUCUCUCUCUCUCGGCUUGAGUUUUUAGUCUUUCUCAUCCAAAAUAACAUCUUCCCUAGGAGCCAAGUCUGUCCUCAGUCCCCUCGUCAGAAGGCCGUCUGUUCAAGCCUCUGUCUCAGAAUGACUUUCCAGUUCCUAAGACAACCCAUUUUGACACCAGGAUCUGCUGUCUGUCUCCCCACCUACCUUUCCAGCUUCCAUCAGCCACCCUGUUCCCAACCAGAGGACUGGGAUCGCUGCCCACCCAGCUCUUCUGGCAAGUGUCUAGAGUUUCCAAAAGUUGACAGCCUACCGGUACUUCAGAGACAAUUCAAGGCCAGCCUGUUCAGGUUAUCCAGGAUCCUGAGGAGGAAGGAAGGCGUGCAAAGUAACUAGCUGACCCAAUACUGGAGAUGAAACACUUUAAUCUACCAGUGGCACGUAACACUGCACAGGGAGUCACAGCUCCCAGAGGUUCCUUCCAGGUCAAAGGAAGUUCCAGAAAUAUUUAGAUGCUGGUCCCUUGCCUGUGAGAUCAGGGUAAGUAGAGGAGAAGGGCAGGUGCCCUCCUGUCACUCAUAGAUCCAGUUUUGUGCACAGCUCUUGUAAUCCACCAGCUCCUCAGGCUGAAACCACAAGCUGAUCUCCUUCUCUGCGCUCUCCACAGAAUCGCUGCCGUGAAUGAUGUUCCUG